GGGGGCGAUUCGGAUUCGACGCCGGUAUCAACUCCUGGGGUGCAUGCCGAGAGGGUAGUAACUCUCGUUAAUCAAUUACUGCAACUGAAUAGUUGCCAACGACAGAGAAUACGCUCUAGCCGCCUGAUCGCGGCUAGCGAUUGCCGACGGGAUGCCCGUAAACCGCCGAUUGCAAUCGUCGUAUAGAACGGGAUCGCAGCAAUACGCGCCUGGCGUUGCGCUGUUA
rnacentral:tmRNA from 1 species